rnacentral:rRNA from 1 species
UACGGAGGGGGGCUAGCGUUGUUCGGAAUUACUGGGCGUAAAGCGCGCGUAGGCGGCUUUGUAAGUCAGAGGUGAAAUCCCGGGGCUCAACUCCGGAACUGCCUUUGAAACUGCAUCGCUUGAAAUGUCGGAGAGGUGAGUGGAAUUCCGAGUGUAGAGGUGAAAUUCGUAGAUAUUCGGAAGAACACCAGUGGCGAAGGCGGCUCACUGGACGACUAUUGACGCUGAGGUGCGAAAGCGUGGGGAGCAACAGGAGUUAAGAAA